GCUAACGUCCGUCGUGAAGAGGGAAACAACCCAGACCGCCAGCUAAGGUCCCAAAGUCAUGGUUAAGUGGGAAACGAUGUGGGAAGGCACAGACAGCCAGGAUGUUGGCUUAGAAGCAGCCAUCAUUUAAAGAAAGCGUAAUAGCUCACUGGUCGAGUCGGCCUGCGCGGAAGAUGUAACGGGGCUAAACCAUGCACCGAAGCUGCGGCAGCGACACUAUGUGUUGUUGGGGAGGGGAGCGUUCUGUAAGCCUGCGAAGGUGUGCUGUGAGGCAUGCUGGAGGGAUCAGAAGUGCGAAUGCUGACAUAAGUAACGAUAAAGCGGGUGAAAAGCCCGCUCGCCGGAAGACCAAGGGUUCCUGUCCAACGUUAAUCGGGGCAGGGUGAGUCGACCCCUAAGGCGAGGCCGAAAGGCGUAGUCGAUGGGAAACAGGUUAAUAUUCCUGUACUUGGUGUUACUGCGAAGGGGGGACGGAGAAGGCUAUGUUAGCCGGGCGACGGUUGUCCCGGUUUAAGCAUGUAGGCUGGUUAUCCAGGCAAAUCCGGAUAAUCAAGGCUGAGGUGUGAUGACGAGGCACUACGGUGCUGAAGUAACAAAUGCCCUGCUUCCAGGAAAAGCCUCUAAGCAUCAGGUAACAUUAAAU
rnacentral:rRNA from 1 species